GAGAAGCCUUUUGAUGGGACAUACACUAGAAUGCUUCGGGCCAUCCUAAACAUAGAUUGGGAAACCCACCCAACACUAGCCCAGCUGUAUGGAGACAUUCCAAAAGUGUCAAUGGAACAACGAGAAAGAAGAGCUGGACAUGCUUGGCGCAGUAAAGAAGAGGUAGUCAGCGAUGUCUUGCUUUGGAGACCGCUUCUCAAAGACAGUCUCAAAGAGGCCACACAGCAAAAACGUACAUUGACCAACUUGCAUAUGAUGCCGGAUGCCUUGAAGAAGAUUUGCCAGGACUGAUGGAAGAUAGAGUCGAAUGGAGAAGUAGAACAACUUGAUCUGAAGAAGUAGAAAAGAAGAAAGGAAGAAGUUAGAUUUCGUAGAAAGAAAGGAAGAAGUCAUUGCUUGCCUCGUUUUCACUUUCAUUUGGCAUUAUAUGGUCACUAUCGUUGACCUUUUGCAGUGCACACCACACCGCAAUUUGUGUUUGGAAGAUAAUUCCUUCUUUUGCUGAUGUAUGCUGGUAUUGGCUCGCUUCUUGGCCUAAGAAUAGUAGAUGUUAUAAAGGAGAAGAUCUCUCCAGUUGCAUUGUUCAUUAGGGAGCAAACGAAAGUAGUUUUUCUUCGCACUGCUGUUAUGGACGGGCCUAAGAAAUCGGCGGGUUUUGGUGCCGUAGAUAUGUAUGUUGAGAAUAAUCAGAAAAUUGGUAUUGGAAGUGGUUCAACGAUUGUAUUUGCUGUAGAGCGCAUAGCUGAAAAAGUGAAACUAGAAGGACUGACAGUUGAAUGUGUACCUACCUCAUUUCAGGUAAAUGUUCCUAGUCAAUCAUGGUUAAUCAUCAAUCAGUCAAUCAAUUUUAAGCUUCAGUGACAGCUUGUUCCUGUGAUUGCUAUUUGCAUACUUGUCAUGCCCAGAGAUACAAAUUCA